CAGCCGCCACGGUAAUACGUAGGGUGCAAGCGUUAAUCGGAAUUACUGGGCGUAAAGCGUGCGCAGGCGGUUAUAUAAGUCAGAUGUGAAAUCCCCGGGCUCAACCUGGGAACUGCAUUUGAGACUGUAUGGCUAGAAUGUGUCAGAGGGGGGUAGAAUUCCACGUGUAGCAGUGAAAUGCGUAGAUAUGUGGAGGAAUACCGAUGGCGAAGGCAGCCCCCUGGGAUAACACUGACGCUCAUGCACGAGAGCGUGGGGAGCAAACAGGAUUAGAUACCCGAGUAGUCCCUGUCUCUUAUAA
rnacentral:rRNA from 1 species